UUGAAUGAUAGAUCCAAAUAUCGGAGAGAUGAAAGCUCACUCAAGGAUAACAAAAUGCUAUCAUUCAAGUAAUUGUAACUUAAGUCAAGAAUCUCCAAAUUACUCAAUGUGGAUGAUAGCUUUCCAAAACCUGUAGGAGUGUUCUUUUAAAUAUAUACACAAACAGUUAGUGACCUUUCUUCAAUAAAAUAAAAUAAAUUAUAAGUAAUUGCAAAUUAACAAGGGUGAGAAUAGUGUAAUAAUAAAAGAUGUAACU
rnacentral:lncRNA from 1 species